GUGGGGAAUUUUGGACAAUGGGCGCAAGCCUGAUCCAGCAAUGCCGCGUGUGUGAAGAAGGUCUUCGGAUUGUAAAGCACUUUAAGUUGGGAGGAAGGGCAGUAAGUUAAUACCUUGCUGUUUUGACGUUACCGACAGAAUAAGCACCGGCUAACUUCGUGCCAGCAGCCGCGGUAAUACGAAGGGUGCAAGCGUUAAUCGGAAUUACUGGGCGUAAAGCGCGCGUAGGUGGUUUUGUAAGUUGGAGGUGAAAUCCCCGGGCUCAACCUGGGAACUGCCUCCAAAACUGCAUGACUAGAGUACGGUAGAGGGUAGUGGAAUUUCCUGUGUAGCGGUGAAAUGCGUAGAUAUAGGAAGGAACACCAGUGGCGAAGGCGACUACCUGGACUGAUACUGACACUGAGGUGCGAAAGCGUGGGGAGCAAACAGGAUUAGAUACCCGAGUAGUCC
rnacentral:rRNA from 1 species